GAAUCAUUGGGCGUAAAGCGCCUGUAGGUUGUUUAAUAAGUCCGUUGUUAAAGACUAGGGCUUAACCCUAGGAAAGCGAUGGAAACUGAUAGACUUGAGUAUGGCAGGGGUAGAGGGAAUUUCUAGUGUAGCGGUGAAAUGCGUAGAUAUUAGAAAGAACACCGGUGGCGAAAGCGCUCUACUGGACCAUUACUGACACUGAGAGGCGAAAGCUAGGGGAGCGAAAGGGAUUAGAUACCCCUGUAGUCCUAGCCGUAAACGAUGGAUACUAGAUGUUGUGCAAUUUGGACAGUAUCGUAGCUAACGCGUUAAGUAUCCCGCCUGGGGAGUACGCUCGCAAGGGUGAAACUCAUAGGAAUUGACGGGGGCCCGCACAAGCGGUGGAGCAUGUGGUUUAAUUCGAUGCAACGCGAAGAACCUUACCAGGGCUUGACAUACUACAGAUCUUUUUGAGAAAGAAGAGUGCCUUCGGGAAUGUAGAUACAGGUGGUGCAUGGCUGUCGUCAGCUCGUGUCGUGAGAUGUUGGGUUAAGUCCCGCAACGAGCGCAACCCUCGUUUUUAGUUGCCAAUUUAUUGGGAUCUCUAGAAAGACUGCCGGUGACAAACCGGAGGAAGGUGAGGAUGACGUCAAGUCAGCAUGCCCCUUAUGUCCUGGGCCACACACGUGCUACAAUGGUAAAGACAAAGAGUCGCCAAUUCGCGAGAAUGAGCUAAUCUCAUAAACUUUAUCUAAGUUCGGAUUGUAGGCUGCAAC
rnacentral:rRNA from 1 species